rnacentral:rRNA from 1 species
GAUGAACGCUGGCGGCGUGCCUAAUACAUGCAAGUCGAGCGAAUGGAUUAAGAGCUUGCUCUUAUGAAGUUAGCGGCGGACGGGUGAGUAACACGUGGGUAACCUGCCCAUAAGACUGGGAUAACUCCGGGAAACCGGGGCUAAUACCGGAUAACAUUUUGAACCGCAUGGUUCGAAAUUGAAAGGCGGCUUCGGCUGUCAAUUGUGGAUGGACCCGCGUCGCAUUAGCUAGUUGGUGAGGUAACGGCUCACCAAGGCAACGAUGCGUAGCCGACCUGAGAGGGUGAUCGGCCACACUGGGACUGAGACACGGCCCAGACUCCUACGGGAGGCAGCAGUAGGGAAUCUUCCGCAAUGGACGAAAGUCUGACGGAGCAGCGCCGCGUGAGUGAUGAAGGCCUUCGGGUCGUAAAACUCUGUUGUUAGGGAAGAACAAGUGCUAGUUGAAUAAGCUGGCACCUUGACGGUACCUAACCAGAAAGCCACGGCUAACUACGUGCCAGCAGCCGCCGUAA